ACGGGAGGCAGCAGUGGGGAAUAUUGGACAAUGGGCGCAAGCCUGAUCCAGCCAUACCGCGUGGGUGAAGAAGGCCUUCGGGUUGUAAAGCCCUUUUGUUGGGAAAGAAAAGCAAUCGAUUAAUACUCGGUUGUUCUGACGGUACCCAAAGAAUAAGCACCGGCUAACUUCGUGCCAGCAGCCGCGGUAAUACGAAGGGUGCAAGCGUUACUCGGAAUUACUGGGCGUAAAGCGUGCGUAGGUGGUUGUUUAAGUC
rnacentral:rRNA from 1 species